CCCCUCUCCCUCUUCUCACUCUCGUCUUUCUCUCCUCCCCCUUUUUUCUCUCCCCCACUCUCUCUCUCCUCAUUUUCCUCUUCUCCUCUCUCACCCUCGCAUCUCUUCUCUUCCCCUUCUUCUUCUCUUUUCAAUUUUUCUUAAUGCAGGGAAUCAACAACAACUGCAGGCGAAUUCCUCUGCUCACCAGCAACACCAGUAGCUUGACAGCACCGAUGGAGGAUGCUCCGAACGGCUGCUCCCUCCGCCUCGCCGCCCUCUCCUCCUCCAUCCUCCCUCCCCUAUCGCUUCCUCCUUCUCUUUUCUUUCUCUCCAAUCUCCCCUCCCUCCUCUUCCUCCUCCUCCUUCUUCUUCUUUUUUUCUCUCUUUGUAGGUCAAGUAGCAUCCCACUGGAAAGCAACCACUGGCGACAGCGGCUCCGGCAGAGAUGAGCAGGACAACCAGCGAAAACAAGCGAACUACGACAAUGUAUUCAAAAGUUUCAAGGGGGGUUAAGGACAAAUUUUUAACAAGAUUUGUCCAGAAAUCAUGCCUGAAUUGGUUAGUGAGUUGGAGAGCUACAUCCCCAAGCUACACUAUAGAAGAGUAUGUUGGGAAUUCCCUAGCGGACAAUGGAUUAAAUGUAACACAGAUGGUGCAUCAAGAGGUAAUCCAGGUAAGAGUGGUGCUGCUGUGGUGCUUAGAGAUGCUGCUGGUGAUUUUCUGUGUGCUGCUACCCAUUCAAACUAAUAUGUAUUCAGAGAUAAUGGCUAUUCAGUUAGCUGCUGAAAUCUGUGUGUUAAGUGUUUUUAAUAACUUUUGCAUGUUUAAAUAUGAGAUAAAUUUGUAAAUGUUUUUUGAUCAUUGUAAAUAACAAUAAAUCUCCGCAUUUAUUAUUUAUGCAUGUGUUUAUCCUAAAA